AUUGAACGCUGGCGGCAGGCCUAACACAUGCAAGUCGAACGAGUGGCGGACGGGUGAGUAAAGUCUGGGAAACUGCCUGAGGGAGGGGGAUAACUACUGGAAACGGUAGCUAAUACCGCAUACCAUCAGAUGUGCCCAGAUGGGAUUAGCUAGUUGGUGGGGUAACGGCCCACCAAGGCGACGAUCCCUAGCUGGUCUGAGAGGAUGAACCGCCACACUGGAACUGGGACACGGUCCAGCCGCCUACGGGAGGCAGCAGUGGGGAAUAUUGGACACUGGGCGCAAUCCUGAUGCAGCCAUGCCGCGUGUAUGAAGAAGGCCUUCGGGUUGUAAAGUACUUUCAGCGGGGAGGCGUUACCCGCAGAAGAAGCACCGGCUAACUCCGUGCCAGCAGCCGCGGUAAUAC
rnacentral:rRNA from 1 species